GACGAACCGUGCGAACGUUGUUCGGAAUCACUGGGCUUAAAGGGCGCGUAGGCGGGCUGCCAAGUUCGGGGUGAAAUCCUCCCGCUCAACGGGAGAACGGCCUCGAAUACUGGCGGUCUCGAGGGAGGUAGGGGCGUGCGGAACUAUGGGUGGAGCGGUGAAAUGCGUUGAUAUCCAUAGGAACUCCGGUGGCGAAGGCGGCACGCUGGACCUCUUCUGACGCUGAGGCGCGAAAGCCAGGGGAGCAAACGGG
rnacentral:rRNA from 1 species